CUGUAAUCUCAGGAUUUUUUCUAUUGGUGUUCAGUUGUGGAUAGAGAGAGAGAGAGAGAGAGAGAGAGAGAGAGACCGAUUUCCACGCCUGCGGAGCGGAGUAGUAGCUCUCACUGCACCACAACUCCCACCAGAGAAAAAUGCCCACUCUAUGCGGCGUCGUUUUCUCUUCCUUAAUUGGUUGCAGAUGCCCAAUUGAUUCAUUUGGAUUGGGUCGUGGUAAAACUGGGCAGCUCUUGUUUCCUCACAAUCUGCACUAUGACAUUGCAAAAGCUAGGAAGAGGAACAAGAAUUUCCAACUUAAGGCUGGCUUUUGGGAUUCCAUCAAAUCCAGCUUUACAAAGAACAGUACAACACAAGUAAUUGAGUCCCCGUCCACACUUCAAGAAGAGGAAGAACCUUUGCCCGAAGAGUUCGUUCUUAUUGAAAAGACUGAAGCAGAUGGAGCCAUUGAACAAAUAAUAUUUUCUUCAGGUGGAGAUGUUGAUGUUUAUGAUCUUCAAUCACUAUGUGAUAAGGUAGGCUGGCCUCGGAGGCCUCUUACAAAGCUGGCAGCAGCUUUACAAAAUAGCUACAUGGUAGCUACAUUGCAUUCUGUUCGGAAGGCGCCAGGAUUAGAGGGGAAUGAACAAAAGAAGCUAAUUGGCAUGGCUCGUGCUACCUCCGAUCAUGCUUUCAAUGCCACGAUAUGGGAUGUCCUUGUUGAUCCUAGCUACCAGAAAAUGAAUGGCACUAUUUUAGUUGGAAAGUUGGCUUCUUGGUUGCUAGCACCUUUUUCAUGGACAAGGCCUCGGUAAGGCUCUUGUUGAAAAGCUUAUAAGGGCACUUCUUCAGAGGGACAUUGGCAAUAUUACACUGUUUGCAGAUAGCCAAGGGAUUGCUGUUUUUCCUUAGUUAUGUGGGUUGAAAGAUUGGUCCUGUUUCAGCAUUGGCAAUUUUGUAUUGGCGUGGACUUCUUGAUUGGCACAGUUUAGUUUUUUAUGUUAAAGUAAAGGGCAAAUUUUUUAUUUUAUUUUAUUUUUUAAGACCCUUCUGGAUUUGCCCUAAUUACAUUUAGUCUCCAUGCUUUUAGAAAAUCGUCAGUAACCUCCCUUUAGUUUUCUAUAUCUAUCAGACCCAUGUGACAUUUUUUUACCAGUUAAUUUUAACAAUUAAAAGCCAAAUUUGUAUUUUCACUAGGUUAUUCAAUCGUAAAAGGGUUAGGUAUGUUUUGAUAGAUAUAGAUUGACAAAGGGAAGUUAAUAAUGAUUUUUUUAGAGCAUAUGAUCUAAGUGGAAGUUAGUAAAGAUUUUCUUAGAGCUUAUGCUUCAAGUGUAAUUAGCACAAACUGGAGUCUAAACGAAGUUUAUUUUAAAUUAAAAUUUAGCUUGAAGUUUCACUUUCUUUUU